rnacentral:rRNA from 1 species
UACGGAGGUCUCAAGCGUUGUUCGGAUUCAUUGGGCGUAAAGGGUGUGUAGGUGGCGCGCUAAGUCGGGUGUGAAAUCUCGGGGCUUAACUCCGAAACUGCAUUCGAUACUGCCGUGCUUGAGGACUGGAGAGGAGACUGGAAUUUACGGUGUAGCGGUGAAAUGCGUAGAUAUCGUAAGGAAGACCAGUGGCGAAGGCGGGUCUCUGGACAGUUCCUGACGCUGAGGCACGAAGGCCAGGGGAGCAAACGGG